GUGGUACUCCCUCCGUCUUAUAUUAAGUGACUUUCUAUUACAUGUAUCUAGAUACUUUUUAGGUAUAGAUAGAUCCAUUUUUGGACAAAUUUGAGUCACUUAAUAUGGGACGGAGGGAAUAUUUA
rnacentral:pre_miRNA from 1 species